AUGAACGCUGGCGGCGUGCCUAAUACAUGCAAGUCGAGCGAACAGACGAGGAGCUUGCUCCUCUGACGUUAGCGGCGGACGGGUGAGUAACACGUGGAUAACCUACCUAUAAGACUGGGAUAACUUCGGGAAACCGGAGCUAAUACCGGAUAAUAUAUUGAACCGCAUGGUUCAAUAGUGAAAGACGGUUUUGCUGUCACUUAUAGAUGGAUCCGCGCCGCAUUAGCUAGUUGGUAAGGUAACGGCUUACCAAGGCGACGAUGCGUAGCCGACCUGAGAGGGUGAUCGGCCACACUGGAACUGAGACACGGUCCAGACUCCUACGGGAGGCAGCAGUAGGGAAUCUUCCGCAAUGGGCGAAAGCCUGACGGAGCAACGCCGCGUGAGUGAUGAAGGUCUUCGGAUCGUAAAACUCUGUUAUUAGGGAAGAACAAAUGUGUAAGUAACUAUGCACGUCUUGACGGUACCUAAUCAGAAAGCCACGGCUGACUACGUG
rnacentral:rRNA from 1 species